UCUCGUCUCACCUUUUCUCCGCUUGUCCUCGUGCCCGCGGUCCAUGGUUUCCGCCUCCUCCGACCGCCGCCUUCUAGACCCCUCAACUCUAUCGCCGUUGAUCCACAACAUCACGCGCGGGACCUCCCUUAUCGCCCUCGUCAACGUAAUCAGGCAGAUACGCCGAAGUCAGGCAGAGCACAUUCCGUUCGAUCUUCAGUGUUGAAGUGACUGUGCCACCCCUUCAAUGGAACCACAAGCUGCAGCCAAGGAGACAAGGAAGCAGAGGAAGCUUAAGCUUUGCAACAGCAUCCACUUGGGUGAAGACCUUGCAAUAUGAUUUCGUGAAAUGUACAUCUCAAUGGGAAAAUACACUGUUAGAGGCCAGAAUCCCACAGCACCAAGUAAUGAAAGCACAUCAUUGAAGAAGGGCAUCAGCAUUGCGAGAACAGUGCUUAUCACCACAAAGGUUGUCCUCCACAGCAGUCGGAAAAUGUUAAUGUUGCAGCCAAGGUUUUUGUUAAUUGUGAUGGGAUGCUCAUGAGUCAGUAUUUGUAAGCCAGGACACUUUCUAGCAAACCAUGUCUCUACUGCAGCAAACAAUGGCUGGCAGUACACCUAGAAAAUGAAAUAGCCAAAAUGUCUAUUAUUAGUUAGCACAGAAGAUGUCUGAUGCAGGUAGAGAGAUCUUAAAAAUUAGUUAUUGUUGCUGAUCAGAUAUGAGGUUACCUGGUAAGCACCAACUAGAUGUGCCACUAUGCAGACAUUACCGACAUCUAUUAGCCAGUAUGGCUCAUAAAAUCCGAAUCCGGUUAGUAUGUUUCCUGGAGCUUGGUUCCCAAAUGCAGAAUAACCUAGGCAACCACAAAGCAUAUAGAAUGUAGUGGUUGUCACCACACCGAUUAAACUUGCUUUCUUCAUUUCUUUGUUCUCUGCAGGAGGAGAUCUUAGGGUGUCCUAAAAGUCAUGAAUAUUGGAUGAGUGCAGAGCAAGGAUGUGAUUCAUAAGCAGGUAACCGAAAGACAUGACAAAGGUUUUGGUAUACAUCAGUAGUCAGCCUACCUGGAUUUCAAUUAAGAUCAUGGAAUAUGAGUAGGAAAAUGCUAUAUCUCCAAGUGCCUGAAAAGUGCUCCAUACCUUCUGAGAUGCACUGACAUCCACUCCAACUAUCGUACCUGUAAUGGAUGUUUUUCUGGUGUUCCCUGUCGAGACCAAAGUCUGAUUCAGAUUUUCUCUUCGAACGUUUAUGCUUAAGGUAUUGCAAGGUUGUGUUUUGUUGUUUGAUAUUUGAUCAUACAAAGGAGACACCUGAGAUGAUUCUGGCUGCCGAGAGACCCACAGCAAUGAAGGAAUAAGCAAAGGACAUCACUGCUGCAACAAUGGACAACCACCAUAGCUUAUGAAAGUUGGGCAGUUGGGACAGGAAGAUCUGAAUGAUUCCAUACCCGACCAUGAACACAUUGGUGGAGAUACUGCAAGCUGCUUCUUGGCCUUUCUUGUGGAAACAAUUAGAUUUGCUCACAGCCCUGUGGUCAUCCAAAGAAGAAACUUAUUAGAGAUGCCCAAAUCUGACUUUGUGUAGAGCAUGCAAUGAGCUUACGCAGCACUGAGGCCUGCGGUAAUCGUAUAACCAAUGGAAACUCCGAAGAGGUUGACAUACUGGCAGAGUCCGCACAACCAGAUCUUAUUUCCUCCUGCAUGAAGACUUUGUAUGUUUAAUUUGUUCAUGGAAAGUUUGUACCAUGAUGAAAGAUGGGGUUAGAAAUUCAAGUGCCUAAGUUGGAUUUCACUGCUCUCAUGUAGGUGACGUUUCUCAUCCCAGAUAUUGGAUCUUCAGUCCUGUAGCAAUCUGCUAGAAGACUGGAAGUGUAGACGGUGAUGAGGGCGAAAAGCGCCAGAGCUAGAGGUCCAGCUAUCCAACCAAGUUGCGCCAUCGCCCACGCUAAGGAUAGCACACCAGAACCGAUGACUGCUGUUACGAUAUGUGAGCUUGCUGUCCACACAGUUCCUGCACAUUACAUCAUUGCCUGUUAGAAUAGAAUAGCAGGGAAAGUUUUCGGAGGACCGGAUCAGUAAGAACUGAAAUCAAACAUCAUUCAGGGACUCCUACUUUUCUGCAACCGUGCAUGACAACAGGUGGGGGAGGAAGAAGAAGGUGAGGAAAUCGGACAGGCAAAGGAAUGAUACGUACCAGUCCUCCUUGGGCGGCCGUCGUCAUCGAGCUCCUCGUCCAUCUUCCCUGCCAUGAUUAUUCCAUCUUCCUCCAUUUCUGCCUCGAACGUCCUCAUCUCUCUCGUCGUGUCUCUGUGCAACUGAUGGAUCCAAGAGCUUCGUCGCAGGUUAUGUACGUAUUCAUGUGUUGUGUAUAUACCUGAAGAGAAGGUCACGGGGAACUAGUGCUUUUGUUCGAUGCAGGAAUCCUUGUAUGUAUCUACCUCUACAUACGUAUAUACGUUAGUAUCUACUGUGUUUCGUGCAGGUAGGGUUCCAUCUACCUCUCUCUAUCUAUGCAUAUAAAGAAAAGGAAAAGACUGGAGUGGAUCGAUGGGUGGACCGACAGGCGUCGCUCCUCGACGACCCCGUCGAUCCGUUUGAACAGGUCGAAGUCGCUUUAGCGGUCCUCAGAGCUUCUGUUCUUGGCGAUGGAUUAGCCAUCAAUUUUGGGUGUUUCCAAAUUUAUGUAAUGAUUGUUGG